ACCAAUUGGCUAGUUAAAAAUAAUAAUAAAACAUCGUAAUAGCUCUUCUUCUUCACGUUUAAUAUUUCCUUCACAGGCAACAGCGUUUUCCUUUUUCCGUCCAAAAUUUAUUUAUUUAUUUAUUUCCUUCACAGGCAAACAGAUCCAGAUUAUCUCAAGGAAGAUGAGGCUUCUCUCUGAACCACCACAAUGCGAAUCCCUUUGUAACCAACCGAAAUCGUUCAUCUUUCCUAUGGCCAAUGAGAAUUCUGUAAAAUCUCGACUGAGAGAAAUAGAUUUUGAGGGAGAGCAACAUACCCAUGAUUUUUCUUCCGAGAAGAUUAAAAUGUAUUGUUAUGGAAACAUAUAGAAAAAGAAAAAUAGAUGAAAAUUUGGGGAUUUUUGUUCGGUUAGUGUAUCCGUAAAGAAACCUCCGGCCAACAAGUUCUUUAAUCCUUAGAAGAAGAAAAGGUGCAAGCUUUAAAUAAUAAUCUUAUCAAGACUGGAAAAUUUUUCAUCAACUCCAGCUUCGUCUCCGCUGUCCUCAUCGUCCUCCUCUGCUCGCUCGCCAUUCUCUUCGCCAAAUGAACAUCUCGGUAUUCGUUGAUCCACUCCAGUGGCAGAUUUCGUAGGACACUGCUAAUAGCAUUGUUGCCCUUUUUGCGAAGAUCAUAGGAAGAGCUGAGUCUCUACUGAGGGUUGCAGCCAUAGGACCUGACAAGAGGUUGUUUUUCAAGGCAUCUUGCGGUGGCUGGUCCCUUGGCUCACAGGCCAUCAUAUGUUAUUAAAGCAGUCUGCUUGAAGAACAAAUCUUGGCUGUGCUAGUCUAUCAAAUUGAUCUUCUUUUUCCUUUCCGUUGGGAUGGUUGCAGAUGUGGCUUAUCAUUUUCGUGAUAGCAUGUUGUCAUGUAGAGUAAAGUUAUGCAAAUUUGUCAACAAUGAUAAUAAGUCAUUCUUGCAGACAGCUCACCAGAUAACUUCGUAUUUAAAUCUUCUCCGAGUGGUGUUUUGUCUUUACAAGCUUUCAGCUUUGGGACGGUUGGUGUCAGGUCUUACAGUUGCCUAUGCUGGAUUAUGCUUGUUUUGCCUUUAUAUCUUAGCCGAGAACAGUCAGUGCAUGUUUAUCUCGAUUUCUGAGGAGAACGAAUGAUCUAGCCCAGGAAGAUGCUACAGAGCAAGAUACUCUGUUGUAGCUUAUGUUUUCUGCAACCUCCAUGUACAAUGAAUCUUUGUAUAUUUUUGUGCGGUUGUAUUUUGGGCUACUCAUAGUUUCUGUGUACAUAUUGUUAACCAGGAGAUACAAAGUUACGAUGCAAAUUGUCGAAUAAUUGACACCAUUCCUGAAUAAAUGUUGGUCAUUAGUUUUUGCUA